GGCAGCCGGCAGCCAGCCUGCACCCCCCGUGAGGCCCUCGGUCACUUCAGAUCAAGCUGGAAUAUGAUGAACAGGAAUCCCUGGAAGACAAAAAGGUGCCAAAUCACCCUGUGUGCAAACUGGCAAUGCCCAAGUCAGCUGCUGAGCAGCAAAGGCUCAAGCAGGCCACUCGGUUCUGAGCGCAGGGCUGUCACUGUGCCACCCCUCAGCAAGCAAACUGAUAGGACUAGAUUAGCAAAUGAAACAAAACCACACAGCUCCCAAAGUUGCAACACGGGUUUCAAAUGAAAAUCCGGGGUUUUAUUUCACAAGUUGCUAAAAUCUAAGUACAAUAAGUCAUUUUCAUUAUUACUGUAUUAUAAAAUCUUGUCAUCGCAAGGUCUCCCAAGAAAGGUUAUAUGGCUUGCAAAGAACCAACGCUGCUCUAACCCUCUCCCCAGGAGAGGGGGGAAGCAAGCAGCAUCCGAGCAAUGUCAAACCAGCUCAUGCAGCAGUUUGCAGUGAAGCAGUGGAGGGCUGGGAACACGGGACACACCGGCUCUCCCAGCCGAGUGAUGCCAGGGAUGGGCCGGGGCUGCAGAGCGGCUCCUUCAGGCUCGUGUUCGGAAGGAGCUGGAAGGAUUUUGUCUCUUCCAGGAGAGGAGGUGGCUUUGGGAUGCUCUGCAGCAGAGCCACUGAGAGCCCUUACGGAGGCAGGGAUCCCAAACAGAACAGCAGGAGAAAUAAAGCAAAGAUCCGGUCUUCAAAGCAUGUCUAACACCCCCCCCACCCCCCCUUCACAAUUCCCAAACCAUGGAACCUUUAGGGCAUAAUACCAUAAUGUGAAUAUUCUGAUCGAGCUUUUCUACCUAUUGGUUGGGUUCUGCAGCUGGGUUUUGGUUUUGUCAGGUGGGGAGGAAGAGAUUUGGAAAGACUCAGAGGUGUUUGAACAACAUCUAAACCUAAAGUGGUACCUCGAGGAGCCCAGUCCAACACCAUCAACUGAACCCACAGCUUCGACUACAAGGAAGAAACAAUUCUGGCAUUUACCACAUUUUUACCACUUCAAUCUUUUCCUGGUGCAUUUAUCUGGAACUUGGCAGAAACAGAGACGCAAUAAAUAGAUCCUUCCAUGUUACCUGCACCAUGGGUUAAUACCCAUGUCAAAACAGUUGGAAU